ACCUGAGAUUGGCGGGAAACAUUGUUCUCGGGAUUCCGGCGGCAGCUAAGAGCUGCAGGGCUGCCACUACCGAAUAAGUCACCCUUCUUGGGACCUCAGGGAUAGAACCUGUGUAUUGCACGUUCCCGCCAGUUUCUCGCCCGCCAGGCCGAUGCAUCUGAAACUGCUCUGUAGUACAGCUGCGAUGAUCAGGGUUGCGCUCUACCUCUCAUUCCGAGGCCACAGAGAUUUGGGGUUUUGUGUGACUAUGAGAAGAACGAGGAUGUAAGAAAGGCCGCAAAAUAAUGUGCCUGAGAGUCUACUUUCUUCAUACCCAUACCAGCACUGGACAGGGGUCAGGAAGGUACCAUUACUGAAGCUCAUAGAGGACACACGCAGAGUGGUGAAAGAGUUGAGUUGGCUGACAUGCAUGUUCCCAGCCGAGGUACACAAGGCAACACUCUGCCUUCUUGUUUCAGCUCUUACACUGUAAACAAGUGUCCCUUUCGCAGUCUAUUUAGUGCCACAUUUUUCAUUUUGUGUGUUGGUGAUUUCACUGUCUAAAAUGGCCCUCAUCACAGUGUUGAAGUGCUGUCCAGUGUUCUCAAGCACACAAAGGCUGUGAUGCACCUUAUAGAGAAUGUAUGUGCAUUAGAAAAGGCAGGAGUUACAGUGCUGUGAGAUCAAUGUUAGUGGAUCAAUAAUAUAUAGCAAAUAAGGUGUCUUUACACAAAAACACAUGUAAAACAAAGUUAAGUAUUAACUGGUUGAUGAAAAUGUUAUGAUCAGAGGUUUGCAGGAACCUAACCCUGUAUUUCCACUAGGGAUGAUAAUUUAGUAUUCACUAAUUCAGUGGUUGCAGAAACUUUAGAGAACAUAAUUUAAUUUAAUAAACCCUGAAAAACAAGAACCCAACUCUAACGUUUCAGGAUCAGAUAAUCUCUGGAAGAGUGGAGUGCCCAGCUCCAAAGCCAUGCCUCUGGUUCUGGAUGCCUUAGGCUCAUUCCAUCCCACCUUGCCACAUUCCAGAAGAAAAAGAAAAGCUCCUCUGCUCAACUUCCAGUCUCCUUUUACUCUUAAUUCUGCCUUCCCUAGAACUUGUUGCUUAGUUGGGAAGUGAACAGGUGUGAAACAACUUGAAAAAAUGUAAGCUAAUCUACACUAGGGCUAUGAUAUUAACAUGUAGCACAUUUGCUGUCACUCAUCCCUCAAACAUAUGUGGCAGACAUUGCUGAUUCAUCACAGCCCCUUUUCGUGCUUGAGUCCUGAUAGG